rnacentral:piRNA from 1 species
UGAGCCUGUGUAUGCGUCUUUUCAGCUGA